UUAUAAAAUUUUUCUGAUUAAUAAAAUUUAUUUAUAUUAAAAAAUAUUUAAUUUAUUUAAAAUAUUAUAUUUAUAAUUAAUUAAAAAUGAAUUUUUUAGAAUAAUGAUAAAUUAAAGUAAAUAAAUUGAUUUUUUAAAUAAUAAAAAAAGUAAAAUAAUUUUUUUUACCUUUUGUAUCAGGGUUUAAAUAAAAAAUGUUAUAUUUAAAUUUCUCGAAAAAUUAAGAUUUAAAAUAAUAUAUUUAUUAUUGUAUAAAAAAUAAUAUAUAAUAUUAUUUUAGAAAGGAAAAAUUAAUCGUUUAAUUAGGAUUCUAGUUUAUGGAUAAAUUAAUUUAAUUAAAAGCUUAUUUAAAUGUAUAUUAAUUAAUUUUAAUUUGAAAUAAAAUAAGAUUAAAAUUAUAAAAAGUUUAGUUUAUAUAAUUUUUAUAUUUAAAUAUAUUAAAUUUAAUUUUAUUUAAAAUUUAAAUUUUUUAGAAUAAAUUGUUUUUUAAAAAAAUAAGUUAUUAUAAUUUUAAUUUAAAUAAAAUUAAAUUUUUAUUCAUAUAAAAAUUUAAAUAAUAAAAAUUUAAAAAUAAUUUUAAAAUUAGUAAAUUUGAAAAGAUAAAUUAUAGUAACUCGGCAAAUUAAAUUUUCGCCUGUUUAUCAAAAACAUGUCUUUAAGAUUAAAUUUAAAGUCCAAUCUGCUCACUGAAAAUUAAAGAGCCGCAGUAUUUUAACUGUGCAAAGGUAGCAUAAUCAAUAGUUUUUUAAUUGGAAACUGGAAUGAAUGAUUAAACGAAAAAUUGACUUUCUUUGAUUUAAAAAUUGAAUUUAAAUUUUAAGUUAAAAUUCUUAAUUAAACUUAAAAGACGAGAAGACCCUAUAGAUUUUUAUUAAUAAAAUUUAUAUAAUAAAAAUAUAUUUUUAUUAAUUUGAUUGGGGUGAUAUUAUUACAAAAAAAACUAAAAUUAAUAAAACCAUAAAUAAUUGAAGUUUUUGAUUUAAAUAUUUUAAAUAAAAGAUUAAAUUACCUUAGGGAUAACAGCGUAAUUUUAUUUAAGAGUUCAUAUCUAUAAUAAAGAUUGCGACCUCGAUGUUGAAUUAAGAAAUUUAUUGGAGUAGAAAUUAAUAUAAAUUAGUCUGUUCGACUAUUAAAUUCUUACAUGAUUUGAGUUCAGACCGGCGUGAGCCAGGUCAGUUUCUAUCUUUAAAUUUUUUUUUAAAAUGGGUACGAAAGGACAAUUUAAAAAUAAAAUUUAUUUAAUUUU
rnacentral:rRNA from 1 species